GACGAACGCUGGCGGCGUGCUUAACACAUGCAAGUCGAACGGAAAGGCCCUGCUUUUGUGGGGUGCUCGAGUGGCGAACGGGUGAGUAACACGUGAGUAACCUGCCCUUGACUUUGGGAUAACUUCAGGAAACUGGGGCUAAUACCGGAUAGGAGCUCCUGCUGCAUGGUGGGGGUUGGAAAGUUUCGGCGGUUGGGGAUGGACUCGCGGCUUAUCCGCUUGGUGGUGGGGUAGUGGAUUACCAAGGCUUUGACGGGUAGCCGGCCUGAGAGGGGGACCGGCCACAUUGGGACUGAGAGACGGCCCAGACGCCUACUGGAGGCAGCAGUGGGGAAGAUUGCACAAUGGGCGGAAGCCUGAUGCAGAAACGCCGCGUGCGGGAUGACGGCCUUCUGGUUGUAAACCGCUUUCGCCUGUGACGAAGCGUGAGUGACGGUAAUGGGUAAAGAAGCACCGGCUAACUACGUG
rnacentral:rRNA from 1 species